UACGUAGGGUCCGAGCGUUGUCCGGAAUUACUGGGCGUAAAGAGCUCGUAGGUGGUUUGUCGCGUUGUCCGUGAAAACUCGACAGCUCAACUGUGGGCGUGCGGGCGAUACGGGCAGACUGGAGUACUGCAGGGGAGACUGGAAUUCCUGGUGUAGCGGUGGAAUGCGCAGAUAUCAGGAGGAACACCCGUGGCUAAGGCGGCUCUCUAGUACGGUACUGACGCUGAGACGCGAAAGCGUGGGGAGCGAACAGG
rnacentral:rRNA from 1 species